CUAAGCCAUGCAAGUCGAACGAGAAUUUUUUACACCGAGUGCUUGCACUCACCGUAAGAAAUUCGAGUGGCGGACGGGUGAGUAACACGUGGGUAACCUGCCCAAAAGAAGGGGAUAACAUUUGGAAACAAAUGCUAAUACCGUAUAACCAUGAUGACCGCAUGGUCAUUAUGUGAAAGGUGGUUUUGCUAUCGCUUUUGGGUGGACCCGCGGCGUAUUAACUAGUUGGUAGGGUAACGGCCUACCAAGGUAAUGAUACGUAGCCGAGUUGAGAGACUGAUCGGCCACAAUGGGACUGAGACACGGCCCAUACUCCUACGGGAGGCAGCAGUAGGGAAUCUUCCACAAUGGGCGCAAGCCUGAUGGAGCAACGCCGCGUGAAUGAAGAAGGUCUUCGGAUCGUAAAAUUCUGUUGUUAGAGAAGAAUAUGAGUAAUAGUAACUGAUUAUUCACUGACGGUAUCUAACCAGCAAGUCACGGCUAACUACGUGCCAGCAGCCGCGGUAAU
rnacentral:rRNA from 1 species